UACGAAGGGGGCUAGCGUUGCUCGGAAUCACUGGGCGUAAAGCGCACGUAGGCGGAUUGCUAAGUCAGGGGUGAAAUCCUGGAGCUCAACUCCAGAACUGCCUUUGAUACUGAAGAUCUUGAGUUCGGGGAGAGGUGAGUGGAACUGCGAGUGUAGAGGUGAAAUUCGUAGAUAUUCGCAAGAACACCAGUGGCGAAGGCGGCUCACUGGCCCGAUACUGACGCUGAGGCACGAAAAGCGUGGGGGAGCAAACAGGG
rnacentral:rRNA from 1 species